ensembl:snRNA U6 U6 spliceosomal RNA
GUGCUUGUUUCAGAAGCACAUAUACUAAAAUUGGAACAAUACAUAGAAGAUUAGCAUGGCCCCUGCAAAAGGAUUACCUGCAAAUUUGUGAAGCAUUCCCUUUUUGU